CAAGGAACUGAGGGCAGCUUCCAGCCAACAGCCAGAAAGGAACCAAGACCCUCAGUCCAGUAGCUUGUUCGGAACUGAGUCCUACCAAGGACCAGAACAUGAACUUAGAAGUGGACCCUUCUCUAGUUGAGCCUUGAGAUGCCUUCAGCCCCAGUGAACACCUUGACUGCAGCCUUCUGAGAGAUCCUGAGCCGGAGGACACUGUUAAACCUCACCCAGAUUCCUGAUCCAUAGAAUUAUGAGUGACCACACUCGGCAGCAUCCAGGGAGUUCAUGAGAAGGAAUAGUGGACUCCUUCAUACAUGUGGAGAUACUUAAGUGCUCGGAGAGGGCCCUGGAGCUACUUUGCCAGGAUUCUGAAAUCCAGGUAAGGAGUCUCAGACCAAGGGAGAAGACAUGAUUUGCCCAAGAUUGCCCAACUAGUUGGAAUUAGAAACCAGCUCUUUGGAUCCAAGUCUGGAGUAUUAGUGAUGACGCUCUGAAUGGAAAAGAAAAACGUACUUCUGGUUAAUUAAAUGCAUAUCUAAACUUUAAAUAAAAACCAUUUCCUAUGCUGGGCUUCAAGAUGGCGGAGGAGUAAGACGUGGAGAUCACCUUCCUCCCCACAAAUACGUCAGAAAUACAUCUACAUGUGGAACAACUCCUACAGAACACCUACUGAA